GGGGGAUCAUUUKGGCUUGUUUUGCAGCCUCCAGACUUGGACAUGUUKCUGUCAUUGAGCCAAACGUGAGGCCAUCUGUCUGACAGCUCUGUCCUAACUCUGGGAACAAACAUAUGUAGAAGGCCCUUGGAACAAAGUCCAAACUGGAAGUGGGACUUCAUCAUUAAAGUAUUCAGUCACCUGUUGUAGAGCAGAAUGUCCGGUUUCCAGAUGAGGUGGUCCGGAAAUCUCACGUUGGUCACACCUGGAUAAUCCGC